ensembl:lncRNA
AUGUCAUGGCAAGAAAAGAAAAUCUCCCUAAAAGGACCUAUGGAUGAGGUGUCACCGGACAUCACGCGACCCCCACCGGAGUUGAUAGACGGGGCUCCGGUAUACGCUGUUUGUAGGUUACUGGACUCUGGUCCAGAGGAGCAGUGUUGGGUGCCAGCAAAAAAUGUCUUGGAUCCAGGUCUGAUUGAGGAUUUCCAUCCAGAGAAGCAUGCUCCACAUCUCAGGGGUCGCCCUCCCUGUCUCCCUUCUGGACCACUUGCAGAGAAAGUGAGAUCGACGCCCAUCAGUUCAGUGACUCGCCAGCUCUGGGUAUACCCCUGUUCAGGGAUCUGAUGGGGGGCUUGGUGGUCAUCCUGGUCGUCCUUGUGCCAAGGCCCACGAGGACUCUUUGGAGAGGGGUUCAUGCAGACAAUCCUCCAGAGGACAUGAAAUCCAUUUCCCAGACUCCUCAGUGAACUCAUGUGACUACAGAUAUUUCUUUACCAUCCUAUUAGCAGUCAAGGUCACCUGAGUAUUAAUGUGACUCAUGUUAGUAUAGAAGCCCCGGCUUUAGACUAGAUCACUGUGAAGUAUUGCUUUCACUUGGAUUCUCUUGGAUUUGACCCAUGCUGAUUUAUUGACGACUCUUUGCAUUAUUGAUUCCCCAAAGUAAAGUUUCAGUAAUUGGUUUCUAACCGCAAGCGUCUGCUUUCUGAUCUCACGUCACAGGUUGUAACAAAAAAACUUACAUUGCCACAGUUUUCAUCAGUUUUCCUCCAAAUUGCCAUUUAUUGUUACUUUGAAAGCUCUUUUUGUACAUCUCAGCUUAUGAUCAGUAUAAUUGUGAUGUGAAAAAUGAUUGCCUUAGCAAACCUUUACCAGAAGUGUGUUCUGCCUUUUUUCUUUUUCAAAUAACAAAGUUAGCACUGAAAACAAACGCAGUAAGAAAAAAAGAACUGAAUUAUUUCCAAGAAUAAGACACUGAGUGAGACUUGGCAGAAAAAGCAGGCAAAGCAGGCUGUAGCUUUCAGGUUUAAAGCAGCAGUUGACUCACUUCACACCACACCACAUGGGUGUGCCCAAAGCCCUUCAGC